UACGUAGGGUGCAAGCGUUAAUCGGAAUUACUGGGCGUAAAGGGCUCGUAGGUGGCCAACUAAGUCAGACGUGAAAUCCCUCAGCUUAACUGGGGAACUGCGUCUGAUACUGGAUGGCUUGAGUUUGGGAGAGGGAUGCGGAAUUCCAGGUGUAGCGGUGAAAUGCGUAGAUAUCUGGAGGAACACCGGUGGCGAAGGCGGCAUCCUGGACCAAUACUGACACUGAGGAGCGAAAGCCAGGGGAGCAAACGGG
rnacentral:rRNA from 1 species